rnacentral:lncRNA from 1 species
GUCCCGGAUGUAAGAUGGCGGCGCGGGGGGCGGCCUGGCGGGGCGGUCACGUGGUGAGGAGUAGCGCGCGAGCCUCCUUAAGUGAUCUCUAAGGUUCAAGAGAUUCUCCUGCCUCAGCCUCCCAAGUAAUUGGAAUUACAGGCCCAUGCCACCCCACCCGGCCAAUUUUUUUUGUAUUUUUAGUAGAGAUGGGGUUUUGCCAUGUUGGCCAGGCUGGUCUCAAACUCCUGACCUCAAGUGAUCCGCCAGCCUCGGCCUCCCAAAGUGCUGGGAUUACAGGCACGAGCCACCAUGCCGGACCUAUUAGUGUAUUUACUGGAUAUCAAGAUGACUAAGAAAUAGCACUUGCCUUGAAGGAGCUUUUCUAUUUGAGGAAAAAGACAUGUAUAUAAAUAACUGCAAACAGAAUGAAACAAGUGUUAUGUAGAUCUACAUACAGUGACAUGCCAUGGGAAUGCUGAACACUGAGCAACAGUUUCAACUAGCGAAUUGGCACAGGAAACAUGAAAAAUAAGCGUAUUUUCAAUAUGACAAGAAUGGUCAUUUCUGGAUAUAAGAACAAGAGAAAAGUCAUGGGUAUAUGGAAAGGCAUGGACUCUUCAAGGAAGAGCAAGUAGUCUAAUGUAGAUGCUGUAUAGGAAUCUGGGGACAAAGGGACAGAUAAGUGGUGUAGACAAAGAGGCUGGAAAUAGGGUUAUGGGCUAGAUCAUGAGUGACCUGUAAGCAUUAGGAGUUUUGAUUUAUUUUGGAAUAAGAAACAUUUAUGGCUUUUGAGAAGGAAAAUUACACAAGGGAAAAGAAAGGAUUUUUAUUUUUUAUUUUUAUUUUUGGAGAGAUGAGAUCUCACUAUGUUGCCCAGGCUGGUCUUGAACUCCUGAACUCAAGCAAUCCUCCCGGCUCGGCCUCUGAAACUUCUAGGAUUAUAGGCGUGAGCCACUACGCCCAGCCAGGAUUAUGUUUUUUUAUGGGAGGGAUGAGAAUAUUGGUAGGUGGGUAGAGGAUAAAUGAGAGAGAAUAUGUAUAUGUGAGAUUGAAUAUAUAAUAGAAAAAAUUGAUAGGACAAGUCCUGCGUUAUUACUACAUUUUAUGAGGAAAAUCUAUAUAUUAGAAGCACUUUAAAGGUAUAUUUGCUAUUCUAGCUGUGGAAACCAUCUGAAAACACAUUUGAAAGUGCUUUGAAACAGGGGUCAACUUCUCUGCAAAGGGCCAGAGUAUGUUUAGCUUUGCGGGCCACAGAUGGCCUCUGUUGCAUAUGCUGCUGGGUCUCCACCUUCCUCCUCCUUUUCUUCCCUUCCUCUUCCUUCUUUUUCUUCUUCUCUUUCUUCUUUCUCUUUAAAAGCAUAAAAUCAUUCUCAGCUCUUGGGCCAUACAGAAACAGGCCAUAGGCCAGAUUUGACUUCUAGGCCAUAGUUUGCCGACCCUCCAUUUUAGAACUUAGCUUUCCUGAAAGAGCAUUUGGGUCUCUCUCUCUCUUUCCCUUUCUCUCUCUCUGUCUCUCUCUCUCUCUCUUUCAGUAAGUGAAGUAAGAAAUAGGUCUUUCUUGAGGAACAAAAAGCUGAAAUAAUUUCAUGCAUUUGAAUAUGACCCUUGACCUGUUUUUGUCCAUCAUCACUCAGAUUUGUGGCUGCAACCACCAACCAAUUUGGUGCCAUAGGAUAUAGCAUAAUUUUUCAGCAACAGUUCAUAAGCUUUUCUUUUUGUUCUUUUUCCUUCUUCCAGUUGUGGUGGUUUAAAAACAUGUCUGCAAAAUCUUUGACACUUCUCAGUAAAAAAUAUAGUCUUGUGUUCCCUUUUCUUGAACCUAAGUGGCCUUUGUGCUGCCUCAACAAAUAGAAUAUGACAGAAAAGACACUAUGUGACUUUUGAGACAGGGUCAUAAGAGGUGAUACAGCUUCCCCAUGCCCCUGCAUUUUAGAGCUCUGGGUUGCCAUGUAAGAAUAGCUACCCUGAAGCUACCAUGCUGAAGAGACCACAGGGAAAUCACAUAGAGUUAGAAAGAGGUGUCUGAAGAAGCCCAGCUGCUCCCAAUCCCAGCUAUUUAAGUCCUCCCAGACCAGGUGCCAUAUAUAUGAGUGAGCAAGCCUUCAGAUGGUUCCAGCACCAGCCACCAUCUAGCUGUAAGCUCAUGAGACCCCUUCAACGAAAACCAUCUAGAUUAGCUUAGUCAAGCCCCAGAACCGUGAAAGACAAUAGACUUGCUAUGGAGGUCGCCACAUGCCUCUUUUUUCUCCCUUUGUGAAUGGGAUUAUUUAUAAUGGUUACCCCAUACCUACUCCACUAUGUAUAUUGGGUAUGAGGGAGAGAUAAUUUGUCUCACUAGCUGACAGAUUUUUCAGACCUCAAGGAAUGCCACGUGAGCUGUACUCACAGGACCACACACAAGUAUCUUUAUCCACACGUGACCUGAUUUCACUGAUAAAGUCCUGGACCUUGAGCCUGAGCCCAAUGUCUUAAUAAAUGAGAAUUUCAGAAGGUCUUGGGAGGGGGUGAGUAUAUUUUGCAUGUGGGAAGGAUGUAAAUAAUAUGUGGCCUGAGAGCAGAUUAUGGUGGUUUGAAAAUGUGUCCACCAAUUCUUUAAUACUACUCUCAACAAGAGGUGGAAUCUGUGUCUCUUCCUUUGGAACAUGAGUGGACCUUUGUGAUUAAAUGCAGCAGAAGGAUGCUGUGUGAACUCUGAGACAGGGUAAUAAGGGGUGAUACAGCUGCCACCUAGUUCUUUCUCAGAACAUGUGCCUUUGGAGCCCUGAGCUGCCAUGGAAGAAAACCACCUACCCUGAAGCCACAACACUGGAAAGACCAUGUGGAAGAACCACAGAGAGAGAGAAGAGGACCAAAUGUGUGAGCCUUCCCAGCCCAGGCUCCAAAUAUGCAAGUAGUAAGCCUUCAUUUCUUUUUGGUUUUAAUUUUUUUUUUUAAAUAAAUCGAAAUGGGUUCUCACUAUGUUGCCCAGGCUGGUCUUGAACUCCUAAGCUCAAGUAAUCCUCCUACCUCAGUCUCCCAAAGUGCUGGAAUUGUAGGCAUGAGCCACCAUGCCCGGCUGCAAUUAGUAAGUCUUCAGAUGCUUCCAUCACCAGCCACCAUCCGAUGACAACCCCAUGAAUGACCCUCAGCAAGAACUACCUAGCUGAAUCCAGCCAAACUCCAGACCCAUGAGAGAGAAAUAAAAUUGUUGUUUGAGUCACUAAAUACGGAGUAAUUUAUAUUAUCAACAGAUAACUGGAACCACAAGUGUAAUUGUUAAAGGUAAAACUUUGAAUACAUUUAUAUUUGCCUUCUGCCACAUUCCAUAAUUGACUUUUGUUCAUGAACCUAUUGGCAAGUUUGCCUUAUUGCUUUUCCUUCUUCCCUCUUUUUUUUUUUUGUAACUUAAAAAAUCAUAUAAUAAAACAACACAAAAAUGUAUUUGAAUGUAGGUUGAGUGACCGUAAAUAAGCACAAAACUUCUCCUUCCUGUGACUCUCUUGUCUGUAUAUGCCAAGUAUCUAACACAAGGCCUGCCUGGCACAUAAUUUUUUUUUUUAAAUGUUAGUCUCUUUUAUCAUUCUUUUUCCCUGUCAGUGGUAUUAUCUUUACCCAUGGAAUCCAGCACCCUCAUGCUGACUUAUAGUUCCCCAAAGUCCCUAACCUCUACAGUCCUCUCCAACCCCCACCCCAGGCCUCUCUCUAUGUUCCAGACAUUUUCUGGCUUUUUACCAUUAUCCAAACUCUGAACUUAUCUACUUAGUUUUUAUAAAAAAACACAGAGUGACUACAUAGCUAAUAUAAAUAAUGCCAGUGUUAACACAAAAAUUUGACUUGAAUGAUUACAAUAGCAAACUUCAAUGUUUACCCCAUGGAAUAGGCAGAAAAUUUCAAGCACUUUUCUAGGCCACCUGAGUCUAUUUUGAGUAAGGAUCCUUAAGUUGAUACUCAAGUAAUGACAUUGAUGCAAUGUAGAAGACUAUGCUAAAAUUUGUCCUGGCUUCUCUCCAUGCUAUGGGCCAUCUGUAAAGCUUUGGAGUCUAGGUCAGAUGUAUGCGUUGUCUCCUCUUUGCUACCAUUUUUGUACAGAUUUCUAAUCUAAAUAAAAUUAAUGGCAAUAACAGUGUGGAAAGGGAAAGCCUAAAAGAAAGAGGGUUUUUGAAGAGUGGGGGACCAGAAAAGAAGAGGACAAUUUUACCUGAAUUGUUUUACUUUAGAAAAUAAAUUUGUUCAUGUGAUUCUGUGAGUCAAUUUACACAUGUAUAUAAAUACACAUUUCUUUAUUUAACCAUUAUUAUUAUCACUAUGUGAUCCCUCAAUGUGCUGGCUACCACGGGUGUAAGAUAAAUUACAGAAACUCCUUAUUCUGAAGGAUUCCAACAACAAUUUGGCAUUGUGCACUGUAUGGGGCCUGGGAAAAUCCUCUGAUUUGCCAUACCUUAGGAAAGGUCUUUGCAUGAUACUAGGCCAUGUCUCUUACUACAAUGAUGAGCAUUCUUAGAUUUAAAAAUAAUACCAAGCUGUCAGGAAAACUGAAUUCCAUCAAUAAUAACAUCUUUUCAUAAACUGAAAGCUUGCAAAGCCUUAAUUAAAAAAAUGAAUUUAUUACUAAGUGAAUUUAAUUCACAAAAGGAAUUUUCCCCAAUAUUUAGGCUGUUGUUGGUUUUGGCUUUGUUUUUAAUUAACAUUUUUAGUUGUAUGGUUUGAUCAAAUACUGAAUUUGAGUUCAAAGAUACAUUUCCUCUGAGGAUGCAGUCUAAAGAGGCCAAGUAAAUAAUAGAAAAUCAUAGUUUCCAAGUUUCGCAGAACAAAGCUCAGUAGUUCCAUGACUUUUUCAGUGUUCUACAGAAUUGAGCUACUCCCUCUUACACAAAAAAGUGCUCUAAUUUUCAUUUUUUUCUUCUUUGCUCAGUUUCUUCAUUUAUUUGCCUACUUUCUUAAUUUCUUCCUAAGUAAAUAUAUAGCUAUCUUUGAGGAGAAGUGAUGUAACAUCAGAAACAAAGAGUAGACUCACAAUUAGAGCCCACUGACUCAUGGGACUUUAGAUAAACCACUAAUCAGGAAACUGGGGGUGUUAAUGCUGUUUAGUUAGUUGAUUGAGGAGGUGAGGACAAAACCUGGUGACUUCAGGGCCUCAGCAACAGAACUCCUACCUAUUUCCAUUGCUACCACUUACCUUAUGGGCAUUAGAUAAUUCUGCAGUGAGUUAUUCUGUGCAUGAGGGGGCAAAGGCUUUAGAGUCAGGUAGCUGGGGAGUUAUUUUCUCUCUCUGCUAUUUAAUAGCUGUAUGACCUCAGGUGAAUUUCUUAAUCUCCGUUUCCUUGUUUGUAAUACCCAUCAUGAGAAGUUGUUCUGAGGAUCACAGAUACUAUACCUAAAGUACCCAACAAAGUCCUGACACAAGGAAGGUGUUCCAUAAACGGUAGCUAUUUGAAGUAGUCUAAAAGGUCCCUUUCAAAUGUUUAAUACACCCAUAUAAUCCCAAUCUUAAUCUCUCACUCUCUUGUUGGCCCAUCAUUAGAGCACCAGAUCCCCUUGACUGCUUUCCAGGGUAAGGAUGCAAGACCACUGAGAACUGUGCCGCGCUGGUAAGAAGAGGUGCUGAUGGCAUGCUGUUGCCUCUGCCAGACAGACUCUGUCUUUGCUGAAGUGUUUAGUAUUGCUAUUGUGGCAAAUGCCAUUUUAGUCAAAGGCAAUAAAUCUUCCUUUGUUUAAAUGACAGAUGGCUAGGAUUGUUACUUCUGUUUCUAGCAAACCCAGAAAGGGAAAAAAUAAAUUACUGACAUUCAGAGUUCUUGUUUUUUAAGAAUAUUAGGGGGAAAAUGAAAAUAGUAUAGUUUCAGCAAAGUUAUAUAGUUUUUGCAGUCAACAGAAUAAUGGGCCCCCUAAUGAUGUUCACGUCCUAACCCCUAGAAUCUAUGAAUAUGUUAGGUUACAGGGCAAAGGGGAAUUAAGAGUGCAGGUGGAAUUAAGAUUAAUUAGCUGACCUUAAGAUAGGGAAUGUAGCAUAAUUUAUCCAGGUGAGCCCAAUAUAAUCACAAUGGAAGACAGAGACAGAAGAAUCAGAGUCAGAGAAGACGUGGCUACAGAGGAGAGAGUGAUGAGAUGUGAGGAUUCUGCCUGCCAUUGCUGGCUUUCAAGAUGAAGGAAGGGGGCCAUGAACCAAGGGGAUGCCUCUAGAAGCUGGAAAAGGUAAGGAAACAGAUUCUCACCUAGACUUCCAGAAAGCUCUGCUGUUGCCUUGAUUUUAGCCUAGUGAGACCCAUUUCAGACUUCCGACCUCCAGUACGUGAAGAUAAUACAUUUGUGUUGUUUUAACCUAUUAAGUUCUAAAAUGGUGAACCCAAUUUCAUUUCUUCUCUCCCUUUACAAGGUAGGUGCUAUUAACAGUGAAAUGACAAUGCAAAAGCAAAGCAGAGGAAAGCACCAGCAAAGGACAUGCCUCGCUGACUGCAGAUUACAGUGUCCUCUACUCAAUUCCUAUCUUAAUAUGUAUCACAUGCCCUGCCUGAGAUAAUGAGGACUCUCCCAUUCCCUCAGUCUUCAGGUUGCCUCUACUUCUCUUCCAUUUUCUUUUUCCUUGAUAUGAUCCUCUUCUUUCUCAUUCUUCUCUUCUUUCAUUUCCUGAGUUGUUUUCUCUCCACUUCUUCCCCCUCUACUCUGAUAGGAAAUAUUAUAGCAGUAGCCCAAGCUAGAAGAAAAAGGACACACCUACCAGCUCCCUCCCUCCCUCACAACACCUACACGGCUGCUGGGGAAGCCUUGAAUGAAAGCUAGAAAAGAACAAAUAGGAAAAGAGGCAUUUGAAAACAGAACAGAAAUAGUCACAGACGGGUGACAGGCAGGAGAUGCCACCUCAUUGACAGCUGCCACCAUUUUCCAUAGAGAAGUUAUUCCAUUGUAGUAUACACCAGGGCUGGGUUUAAAUAUUUUUCCUAUGUACUUGGUAGUAUAGUGGAAGCUCCUCCAUUUCUCUAAAUAGUUAACUGCAUACUUAGAGCUCUUGGUAGCGUUUAGAACACGGAGUUAAUUAUUCUGAGUGUACCUAGCCCCAUCACUGUCUGUAAUCUGUACAAAAUUUGAUAAGCCCUUUUAAGGUAGUUAGAUAUUUAUUGAGACUCUGCUGUAUAUUUGGCAGUGCCCCAGAUAUAGGUAGUGGUGGUGACAGCAAGCAAUAGGACCAGUGGAGCCUGCUUUUUAAUAGAGAGUGAUCUCUCUGGUAUUGUUGUAAGUACAGCAUAUAAGCAACUUGAGGUGUUGUCUUAAAGAUGUGAGCUCACCUAAUUUACACAAGAGCAUCAAAGCCAGAAUUCCUCCCCUUGCUGAUGUUAGCCUGUAACUCUGUGCCUCUCAAGUGUAUAACUUCUUCUGUGGGAAUCAUGCUUCUGAAGCAUGAGGAAAGAACACACCCGUGUUUCCACUUUCUCUGCUGCUUUGCAUGUGAUCCCUCCAGGUAUGCAAAAUAAUGCCUCAAUAUCAUUUUGACCUGUGUUGUCAUUUUACAUAUUUUAUCAGAAGACUUCAUAUCGGAUGGAAGCAAAUCUUUAGAAGGGUUGUUAUAACAACUUGAACAGCCCAUCAUGCUCUAGGCAUGCUCCCUAUCACGGCUAUGUUUUCAUUCAUUAGAGAUGGAGGAGGAGGCGGCUUAAAAUGUGUAAUUCUAAUCACCUAUUCCUACAGCUCUCUAACUGGUCUCCGUGGCUUCUCUUGCCUUCCUCCAGUCUUGCCCGUGAACCUUGAUUAGAGGACAACACAACACUAACAGCCACUCCUCCCUCUCCCUCCUGACUCCUUAUUUGAGUUAGAGGCUCUCGUAACACCUGCGUCUUCCCCUUUGUCAGCAGUCAUCACAACGAAUUGUGAUUGCCUAUUUACUCAUCUGCAUCUCCCACUGAAUUCUGAUCCAUGGUGGCUGGCCCAUGCCUGUCUUGUGUACAUUUGCAUGUAAACCACUUAACCCAAGUGCCAGGAAGCAAACAGUACACGCAGGUGUGUGGAGUGAUUGAAAGCUAAUUUGCUACCUAAGAAUGUACAGUGAUUCCUCAGUGUUUAUUAGAUCAGGCCCAGACUCUUCAUUUCAGUUUUCAACUCCUCUGAUUUUUCUUUUAUACAAGCUUUCAGAUCUCCUCUUGGUUCUCAUCUAGCUCUUGCAUCUUUAUGCCGUGGGUUGAUUCCUCUGCCUGCCUAUCUGUAGUAGCUUGUCUCCUAGGAUGGCUGCCAUCAAUUUCUUCUCUUCUGUAUACACAUGCCACUCCCGCAUUGAGAGAUGGAGUCUUCUUUCCCCCUGGAAUCUGGUCUGGCCUGUGACUAAUUUCAAUAAUAGAAUCUUGCAUUUCUAUUGAAACUACCAAAAAAAAAAAAUUGUGUCAGCUACUACAGCUACUAAGUUUUGGGAUGGUUUGUUAUAUGGCAAUAGAUAUCCUCAAUACCAUUCUUCAAAGUCCCAAACCUACAUUUUCUGUGAAGCCUUACCUUGCUAGUCUAGUUAACACUGAUCUCCUCCUUCUCUGAAGUUCUGUGGGAAUAGAACUUUGUUGAUGCCACACAUUUUGUUAUCCAACUGUAUGUAUUAUUACUUUUCCUUUCCUGAAUGCCAGUAUGAACUCCAUGACCAAAUUAUAUGGUCUUUGAAGAUACCAAAUAGUGGAAAUAGGUCUUUUGUAAUCCCUUCAACAAGUCCUAGUACUGAAUAAAAAUGUAAUGGCUGUUGAAUUGGAUUAAAAGUAAAAAUAUUCUUGGCCA